rnacentral:rRNA from 1 species
AACGAACGCUGGCGGCAUGCCUAACACAUGCAAGUCGAACGAGACCUUCGGGACUAGUGGCGCACGGGUGCGUAACGCGUGGGAACCGGCCCUUAGGGUCGGAAUAACUCCCCGAAAGGGGUGCCAAUACCGGAUAAUAUCUACUGACCAAAGAUUUAUUGCCUUUGGAUGUGCGCUCGUUGGAUUAGCUGGUUGUUAGGGUAAAAGCUUACUAAGGCGACGAUCCAUAGCUGGUCACAGAGGAAGAUCAGCCACACUGGGACUGGGACACGGCCCAGACUCCUACGGAAGGCAGCAGUGCGGAAUAUUGGACCAUCGCCGAAGGCCUGAUCUAGCAAUGCCGCGUGAGUGAUGAAGGCAUUAGGGUUGUAAAGCUCUUUUACCCAUGAUGAUAUUGACGGUACCGAAACAGUAAGCUCCGGCUAACUCCGUG